GCAGUACCACGGUAAUGCGAAGGGGGCUAGCGUUGCUCGGAAUUACUGGGCGUAAAGGGAGCGUAGGCGGACUGUUUAGUCAGAGGUGAAAGCCCAGGGCUCAACCUUGGAAUUGCCUUUGAUACUGGCAGUCUUGAGUACGGAAGAGGUAUGUGGAACUCCGAGUGUAGAGGUGAAAUUCGUAGAUAUUCGGAAGAACACCAGUGGCGAAGGCGACAUACUGGUCCGUUACUGACGCUGAGGCUCGAAAGCGUGGGGAGCAAACAGGAUUAGAUACCCCAGUAGUCCCUGUCUCUUAUACA
rnacentral:rRNA from 1 species